rnacentral:rRNA from 1 species
AUGAGGGUGAAGAGGCGAUCGCGGCACCGCAAGGUGGUUAAGUUCUACUCCACCUGCUUCGGCUUCCGCGAGCCCUACAAGGUGCUCAUCGAUGGCACCUUCGUGCACCACCUCCUCGUCCACCAACUCCUCCCCGCCGACGACGCCCUCCGCGAGCUCCUCUCCGCGUCCAGGGCGCCCCCGCUCUUGACCUCCAAGUGCGUCGUCGCCGAGCUCAGGCGCCUCGGCAAGUCCCACUCCGAGGCGUUCGACGCUGCCCAACUCGUCGCCACCGCCAGCUGUGAGCAUGACAAAGUGGUCAGUGCGGUGGACUGUAUUCUGUCACUUGUUGGUGAUAAGAAUCCGGAGCACUACUUUGUUGCCACCCAGGAUUCUGAUCUCCGGGCAAAGCUACGGGAGGUUCCUUGUGUUCCUGUGAUAUAUGGUCUGAAGAACUCCCUGUUUAUUGAGCAACCCUCUGUGCAGCAACGUCAGUUUGCUCAGUUGGAUGAGGAGAAGCGUAUACAUAUGGAAAAAUCAGAAUUUAAGAAGCUAUUAAAGGCGUCAUCUGAAGGAAAGACAUCCGUCUGUGGAAACGCUCCCGGAGUGGCAGAGAAAAGCAAGUUUAAAAGAAACAGAGCAAAGGGUCCAAACCCACUCUCUUGCAAGAAAAAGAAACCAAAGCCUCAACCAUCAGCUGCUCAAAAUCAGGGCCCGAAGACUGAUGGCGAGGCAAAGCGAAAGAGGGUUCGGAAGCGGAAGAGAAGUGCCAAAGGCAGUAGUCAAGCAGAGACAUGA